rnacentral:tRNA from 1 species
GGAGGCGUGGCAGAGCGGUCGAAUGCACCGGUCUUGAAAACCGGCGUGGGUCCUGCCCACCGUGGGUUCGAAUCCCACCGCCUCCGCCA